rnacentral:lncRNA from 1 species
AAAGAAAAGGUGAAAGCCCCGUCGGUGCACUUUACCCUUUUUCAACUUUUAUUAAUUCAAAAUCGAAGACGAAGGAAAACUCGCUUUCUCUCACGGGCACCAGCUGAGUGCGGUCGGCCCCAGACGCUGAUGCAGGCUAGGGAGGCGACGCUGACUCCCAAAAACAAAACAAGCGCCCAAAUUGAGCCCUUCAAAAAAUACAAAGGAGCAUACCUAAACGUAAAAAACCCUAAAAACGUUUCUCAGAGAUAGAAUAAGGAGAAGGACCAUACUGAAACAAAAACAAAAACAGAAAUAUCUGCUCAUGUCCCCAAAAUCCCCUCCUCCUCAGGCACGUCGUUUAUCUUAUUUAAAUACAAUGUUCACUCUCUGAUAAAAGCUUUCUUCAGUUCUUAAAACUCUUUUAAAAGCUUUAUUAUUGUUCUUCUUAUUAUUUAUGCACUUAAUAACAUACUGAUCAAAAGUACAAAACAUGGAUUUCGAAACGGAAUCGCAGAAGAAGAAGUACGGAGCUGGGGUUUUUGGAGAUGUCUACGCUAUAACUAUGAUGCUUCCCAAGGACCUCGACAAGAUGGAUCCUCCUCCUUCUCCUCCUCCCUUUCAGCUCCGAUUUCAACUUCCUG